AUACAUGCAAGUCGAACGCGUUUCCGUUAUUGAUUUUAGAUGCUUGCAUUUAAAUGAUUUAACACGAAACGAGUGGCGAACUGGUGAGUAACACGUGGGUAACCUGCCCUUGAAGUAGGGGAUAACACUUGGAAACAGGUGCUAAUACCGUAUAACAACCAAAACCACAUGGUUUUGGUUUAAAAGAUGGCUUCGGCUAUCACUUUAGGAUGGACCCGCGGCGUAUUAGCUUGUUGGUAAGGUAAUGGCCUACCAAGGCAAUGAUACGUAGCCGACCUGAGAGGGUAAUCGGCCACAUUGGGACUGAGACACGGCCCAAACUCCUACGGGAGGCAGCAGUAGGGAAUCUUCCACAAUGGACGAAAGUCUGAUGGAGCAACGCCGCGUGAGUGAUGAAGGGUUUCGGCUCGUAAAACUCUGUUGUUGGAGAAGAACAGGUGUCAGAGUAACUGUUGACAUCUUGACGGUAUCCAACCAGAAAGCCACGGCUAACUACGUGCCAGCAGCCGCGGUAAUACGUAGGUGGCAAGCGUUGUCCGGAUUUAUUGGGCGUAAAGCGAGCGCAGGCGGUUUCUUAGGUCUGAUGUGAAAGCCUUCGGCUUAACCGGAGAAGUGCAUCGGAAACCAGGAGACUUGAGUGCAGAAGAGGACAGUGGAACUCCAUGUGUAGCGGUGAAAUGCGUAGAUAUAUGGAAGAACACCAGUGGCGAAGGCGGCUGUCUGGUCUGUAACUGACGCUGAGGCUCGAAAG
rnacentral:rRNA from 1 species